GAGAGCAAAGAGAUUGGUCUGAUGGCCAGGCUGGAGUGUGCAGGCCAAGUCCCAUGAAUGAAAGGGGAGGCUGCUGAGAUGCCAGAGUGGCCAGCCUCUGGCUGGGCAGUGGGGACAGGGGACCAGGACACAGCACCAGGGCACCUGCUCCAGGAUUCCCAGCACCAUUCAUGAAGACAUCACCCUCUGCUGUCCUCCCCUCCCAUCCCUUCCCAAAUCCCAUUCUCCUAUGUGUUUCAAACAGUAGCAGGCCUGUUGAGGAGCCACAUCAAACAAGGGCGGAUUUCAAUCCUUUCUUGCUAACCCUCCUACAAGUGGAGCUGAAGUCUCUGUGUACCUUGCCCUCUUUCCCUAACCCUAACCCUGCCUCUGUCCUUCCAUCUAGAAUGUUGCUCUGGGAGAAGAAUAUUCUCUGUGAGGCCCAGCAAACUGCAGCCUUAAACCUCCUGAAACAGGUCCUUGGAACAAUUUGCAAGAAUCCUGCAUGUGCAAGGUAAGAAGGCUACAGAGGACAGGGAGCGAGCGUGGACCACUGGGCUUCAGGCAUGGACGGGGUGGGCAGGGGUCAGCUCAGGCUCCUGGCUUCUGCUGCUGCUCUGUGUCUGGCACUGAAGGUCUGAGAAAGGGCCUUCCUCCCUUAUUUUUUUAAGAGACUCCAAAAAUGGAGACACUACAUAUUUGGUCAUGAAAUCUCCAGCUAAGCCUCUCAGUGCCUCAGUUUCCUCAUCUGUGAAGUGAAAUAAUAUCCAUGGCCCUGCAUACUCGGCUUCACAAGAAUCAAACAGGAUACUGACUGUGAAUCAGAAAGUGUUGUACAAGUACACGGGGAUGUUGUCUUAAACUCUAGAAGUUCCUUCCAGAGUCAAACCUACUUCUCAAUGUGGUAACUACAGUUCUGCGGUUCGUUCUCUUGUUCAGUUUUCAAGGGCAAACAGCUGGGCUCGGGAAAUACCCCGUUGCUUAUGGAGUGCCUGCGUCAUCUCUCCAUCACUUCGAGGUCCCUCCUUUUCUCCCAUGGCUCCGUUGGAAAAUGCUACAGACCAAAGAGAUUCUGUCUAGUUACUUUCUCAUAUGGAAUCAAAAAGCACACCCAUGCUGGAGUUGGCCCUCAUGGCUAGGCAGUCCACGUAGGCACCCACACCCUCCCAAGCAGGCAGAGAAGAGGGGGAGUAGCUGAGGUGCCUCAGACGCCCCGCCCCCAACUCUACAGCAAUUAGAAUGGCACUGGCCCUCAUUGCCUGAGAGGUACUAUGAAGAUGCACUUUGUCGGGGGUCCUUCUCUGCUCAGCAGCCCUCACCUGCCAGGAAGCCCUGUACCAACCUGCUUGGCUUUGAUGGCCCAGCCUGGUUGGGAUGACAUUUGCUCUCAGAGCAUCAGUUGGAGCUGGGCUUUCUGAGGAUUCCGUGUCUCCCAGGCAGGCACACCCAGGGCCUUCUGGGGUGGGAGUGAGUAAGACUGGACAGAGCCAGUACAAUUUAUCCCUUAAAUCAGAAACUCUCAGAACCAAUUGGAAGUGAUCAUUUUGUCCAGGUUUCUUCAUUAGACAAAAUGAUAACUUCCCUUCAGUUGCUUAUAAUUAUCAUUAUCUAAUGGUAAGUGAUAAAAUGUAUUGGGUGUCCAUCCUGUUUUAGUUGCAGUGCUUGGCUGUUUACCUAUAUGACGCCUCAUCCCCAUGUGUCUAAUCUUACCAGGUAAAGUGUUAUCACCCCAUUUCACAGAUGCAGAAACUGAUGAUCAUCAGAAAGUCAAGUGAUUGAUCCCAAGGUUAUGCAGGUAAUAGGUGGUGUGGCUAAAAUUUUCACUCAGGUUUAUCUGACAUCCAUUUUCUCUUGUUUUGUCAUUUUCUGAUGAGGAGAAAGUGAUGAAUGUGUGAGAGUCCAUACUUCAAAUGCCAGGAAAUGGGAGGCCUUGCAUUUCAUCCCUCUUCUUAGCCACCAGCCAGCGACCCAGAGCCCCUGCAGCAGGAGGGCUCCCACGGACUCAGCGCAAGUCCAGCAAAGCAUCUCUGGGCUUCAGUUCUACUGAGGGGUGUGCAUGUUUAACAAUGAGAGUUGGCCCAGAGGAAAGAAGUUGCCAAUACAUGCAAAUGUCCACUAGCUUAUGUCACCUCUGCCCCCCACAACGCCACAUAUGUGGCCACGCCUGCCUAUCAAAAUAAUGGGAUAAUUGGGUACAGCGUGUGCCGCCCCCACCCCUUACUGAAAGCAUGCCAGUCGGUCUCUGUGGGAACCCACAGGGAGCAGGGUGAGCAACACACCACUGUCUGCCUUCUCCGUGAUUGCAUCUGUGCCCUGCAAACCCCAACAGAAUUGAACUUACAUCUCCUCUUAAUUAGGGGAGAGAGGAAGACAAGAAUGAUAGCAGAAGAAUUUCUUCCUGCCUCUGACGGCAAGCUCUUCAGGGACAGAACAUUAAGCUCUCCCUCUGUCUGCCCCCGGCCUCCGACUUCUCUUUCCUGACUGAUAUCUGGCGUACCUAACACAGUGCCAGGCCCUCCCUGGGACCGGUGCCUGUGUGUGAUGAGAGUGAUGAACAGGGGCUGGUUGGAAAAGCUAGACCCGGCCCUGGUGGCCUGUCUCCGGUCUGCUGUGAGGCAGUGCAGAGCAGCGGCUGGGGCAGUCUGUGAGGCCUCAAGCCAGACAAGUGGGGGCUGGUCCAGGGCCCUGCAGGGGGGUCGGGGGAGGGGAGGAGGGUGGAGCCUUGCCCUGAGAGGAGGCUGGCAGAGGAUAAAGUCCAUGGCCCCAUGCGAAAAUAAAUAAACACAUCGCUUCAGUAAGUCAAAUACCCUGACAUCCAGGUGCAAACCCCAGUGCCUGCUUCAGUGUUGCAAAUUUAGAGCAAGGUAUGAACUACUAAAGUCUAAGAAGAAAAAUCCAGAAAUGGCACAAGCUCUUGGCAGGCAGGAAUCGGCCGCAUCAUCACCCACAUCAUGAAACAAUUAAUAGCUAAUGGAAAAAAAACACUUUAACAUUGUUUUCUGUAUUCUGAGUUUUGAAUUCCUAGAAAGAUGGUCUAGAUUUCCCCUCGUCAUCAGUUUAAUAUUUAGUUCAUAAUUGUUCCUUUUGCAAAAUACUCACUUGUUGGAUGCUCUGGGUUGUGAUGAGGUGGGAAGGAAAGAUCAACAAGAGUAAUUGUCCCUUUUUAUCCUCCUCUUUCUCUCUCUUUCUCACAGCACCAUUUUUCUGGAAUGGCUUCUAUUGACUCAGAACCAACAUUCGAAUGAAAAGACUACUAUUUCCAUCAGAAAACAGAGGUUCGAGAGCCAGCCCUGGUUGCCUAGUGGUUAGAGUUGAGCACUUACCGCCUGGGCAGCUGGGGUCCCAUUCCUGGGAUCCACACCACUUGCCUGUCAGUUGCCAGGCUGUGGUGGUGGCUCACAUGGAGGAACUAGAACAACUUACGACUAGGAUAUACAACCAUGCACUGGGGCUUUGGGGAGGAACAAAAAAGGAAAAAACAGAGGAAGAUUGGCAACAGAUAUUAGCUCAGGGCAAAUCUUUAAAAAAAAAAGCAGGUAGGAAAACUCCCACUCGGGUGUCAGGAGGCUUGUGUUCUAAUCCUGCCUCUGCUCUUCCCUGGCCUGGCACACAUCCCUUCCCCUCUUUGAUUCUGGUUCCCUAUCUGUAAAAAGCAAGAAUUAGGCUCUAUGCUCCCCUCUCUCCUAGCCUUGCCGUGCCGUCAUCACUCUAACUCUCUCCUUGGAGAACGGAGGAAGGACAUUGGCUACAAAAAAGCCUUCUCGUCAUGGCUAAGAAAGCUCAGUGCCUAAAAAAUCGACAAGGGAGUGCAAUACAGGGCAGAGCCGAGAAAUGGAAUUUUGCCUUUGAAUUGUCUCGAGUUGGAUGAUUUCUCUCUCUGCCUGCCUUUGAUACACUCUUGUUCACGGCUCUGCUGUGAUGAAACUUUCUGCGUCAUGGGUGGUUCCAGCCCCUUCGAUCCAUUCAGCUGAUGAUAUUUCCUGAUGUUUCAAAGGCCAAGAGUAUGGGAUGAUGGAGUAUGGUAGAUUUACCUUCUCUCUUCUUUCCCCACCCACCUGGCUCUUCAGCCUCCUCUCCUGUGGAAUCCCUAUUUUGCGUUGUUCCGCAAGGUCCUGGGAUGACAGCAAAUCCCAACUCUGGCUACUGCCCAGGAUAUGGGAGCCCCAGCUCCUGGCUUCCUGGAGAAGCUGGAGAACGGAAAGCCUUCUGUGGUCUCUUGGGGACAUCACCCCCCCUGGUGGAACGAAGAGGAACUUUCCUGGCUUCGGAAAAGCUGGGCAGCCUGGCAGCGGUUACCUCUCCUCUGCAGUUUUUGGAGUGGCUAAUAAUUAUUACCCUGUGUUAAUCAUGACAAUGGAAGAAUUGCAGCCCAUUAUUUUGAAAUGAUCGGCUCCAGUCAAUGACUACUUAUGACAGCAAAGGGGAAACAUCAGCUCCAGGGAGCCCCCAUGUAAAUGGGGAGUUGAACGAAAGAUCAGGAAUAAUGGAACGUGUAUUUAGUUCCAUUUUCGUCCCUAAAAGGGCCCUGUCAGAGUAAUUUCUCCUUCCGUGCACUAUACCUUGCCAUUAUUUACAAUAUCUUCUUGGGAGAAUAAAACCCUGGAGCCCUCCUCCUCAUCUCCCCCUCCCCGCCUGGUCUCCCCCUCCCCGCCCCCUAUCAAUUGUGUCUCUUUCUGGAGUUUGGCAAACACAGCUACUUCCUCCCGCUGUGCUUUCACUGGAGCUGAAAUGAAUGUGGCUCUAGUUAUUUCUUUCCCUUAAUCAUUCUUUUUCUUUUUUGUUGGAGAGCAUUUUCACGAAGCACAAUCACAGAGGAACAGAAUGUCCUGAUAUUUGGGUGAGCAGCAUGCAUUUCUUUUCUUUUUUCCUCCCUUGAAUAAAAAUAACACCCCAUAACCAUAAUAUCAGAGGCCUCAAAGGCCAUCUUCCAAGGUUUCUCAUCAUCUUGCCCCAUCCUCGGGGUUCAAUCUUACUUCUAACAACCCCUACCCACCCACCACCCAAGCCACACUAGUUCCCUCUCAGUCCCUUGAAAUCGCCAAGCUCAUUUGAUCCCCUGAACUUCUGCUCAUGUUAUUCCUGCCGUCUGGAAUGUAUCAUCUCCUUCCUCACUUCCCACAGGCAUCCAACGCCUGAACCAUCUUUAGGACCUUCUCAAGACUCAUCUCUUUUACAAUGUCUUUUCCAACUUUUGUGAAGGGCAGUUUAUGCUCAGACAGUGUUUAAGAAUUUGUAAACUUCUUCCUACCCAUUGUAAGCUUGGCAUAGAGAAGUCACUUAAUAAAUGUUUACUGAAUAACUUUCA